GGGUCAGUAGGUUGGUCGUGCCACCGGUACGUACUGGUCUCACUGAUUCCUCCUUCCUGAAGAACCGUAAUGCCAUUAAUUUGGUGUUGUGGGGAAACAGGACUGUUACUUUGAAAAAAUUAGAGUGUUUAAAGCAAGCUAACGCUUGAAUACAUUAGCAUGGAAUGAUGAAAUAGGACGAUCGAUCCUAUUUUGUUGGUUUCUAGGAUUGACGUA
rnacentral:rRNA from 1 species